AAGAAAACGAAUUCAACCCCGGGGUGGAAAGUUGUAGCGCUCAUGUUUGAUUUUUGAUAUACAUAAGCGUAUAGCUUUUCCCCUUCGGUUUGAAUUGCAGAACUU
rnacentral:pre_miRNA from 13 species